GUCCCUGUCGUCCAGCGGAGAGGACGCGGGCCUCCUAAGCCCGAGACGGCCGUUCGAGUCGGCCCAGGGGCA
rnacentral:tRNA from 1 species